GAUGAAGAACGCAGUGAAAUGCGAUAAGUAAUGUGAAUUGCAGAACUCAGUGAAUCAUCGAAUCUUUGAACGCACCUUGCGCUCCUUGGUAUUCCUCGGAGCAUGCCUGUUUGAGUAUCAUGAAACUCUCAAAGAAAAUCUUUUGUUAAUUCAAUUGGUUUGCUUUGGACUUGGAGGUUUUUUUUGCAGAUUAAUUUCUGCUCCUCUUAAAUAUAUUAGCUGGAUCUCAGUAUAUGCUCGGUUCCACUCGGCGUGAUAAGUAUCACUCGCUGAGGACACUGGUAAAAAAGGUGGCCGGGAAAUACAGAUGAACCGCUUCAAACAGUCCAUUGACUUGGACAAUAUAAGGUUUAAGAUCUGAUCUCAAAUCAGGUAGGACUACCCGCUGAACUUAAGCAUAUCAAUAAGCGGAGGA
rnacentral:misc_RNA from 1 species